rnacentral:rRNA from 1 species
GGCCUAACACAUGCAAGUCGAACGGUUGUAGCAAUACAGCAGUGGCAGACGGGUGAGUAACACGUGGGAACCUUCCUAGGGGUACGGAACAACUCAGGGAAACUUGAGCUAAUACCGUAUACGUCCGUAAGGAGAAAGAUUCAUCGCCCCUAGACGGGCCCGCGUAGGAUUAGGUAGUUGGUGAGGUAACGGCUCACCAAGCCUACGAUCCUUAGCUGAUCUGAGAGGAUGAUCAGCCACACUGGGACUGAGACACGGCCCAGACUCCUACGGGAGGCAGCAGUGGGGAAUUUUGGACAAUGGGCGCAAGCCUGAUCCAGCCAUGCCGCGUGAGUGAAGAAGGCCUUCGGGUUGUAAAGCUCUUUUACCAGGGACGAUAAUGACGGUACCUGGAGAAUAAGCCCCGGCAAACUUCGUGCCAGCAGCCGCGGUAAUACGAAGGGGGCUAGC